rnacentral:lncRNA from 1 species
UGACAUGGUACAGAGACACAUUGGAUGAAACCAAUGAGAUUGUGAACACAACUCUAUUUUCAGUUUGUUGUUAUGUUCUCCGAUGCCUCCUAAUCCAAGUAUUUGCAAUAGAAGAUAUCUCAUGGUUGUGAGAUGUCAGGUGCCAUUGCAAAAUGAUACUUCAUGCUCACUAGCAUGAGCAUGUAUAUCACCUGUCCAAGCUCCCUACAGUGUUGGUUAGCUAGUGUUACCCAGAAGCAGGAAUGAUGCAUUCAUGCAUGCUCUCCCAAUUUAUAGUGGGGAUUCCAGCUGAAAUAUUAUACGAUAUAUUAAUGUAGGGUUCAACCACAGUGAAAUUGUAAAGCAUAAAAUGAUUGUGAGAACAAAUAGAGCUGCACUGAGUCUUCUAAAUCAUGAACAUGCAUGCCUACUAGUAUAAACAAAAGCUCAAUCAAUAUUGCAGUACUAAGCUUUUCUCAUAGUACAAAUUCAGACACAUGAGGUAACACUACUACAAAAUCGGUUUUUGCAAACGGACGAAGACGAUUUUCGCAUGCGGUUGGGCCAGCCGCAUGCGAGAACUCGUAUCGCCAUCUUUCUAUGCGGCCAGGGCACCAGCAUGCAAAAAUCUGAUUUUUGAAAAAAACCACGAAAAAAAAUAAAAUUCCAAAAAAAAACAAACCGUAAAAGCCCGCCGCGACCUGCCCUAGCUCCCGCCGCCGCCAGCUCCCGCCCGCCGUUCCCGCCGCCCCCGAUCCCGCUGGCCGCUCCCGCCUCCGGAUCUGGGCGGGACGAGGCUCUCCGCCACCGAAUCCUUGUCGUCGGGGUUGCCGCCGCCGCCACCACCCGCGUCGUCGUCGUCACCCACUCGUCGUCAUCGUCGGGGGCACUGUCGUCGUCGUCAUCAUCAGGUGCGCUGCCGCCGGUUGCUCGCUCCUGCCGUCGUCGCUCGCUCCCAUCAUGGGAGGGCCCCCUGCAUCGGAUCCGCACCA